rnacentral:rRNA from 1 species
CCCGAGACCGAUAGCGCACAAGUAGAGUGAUCGAAAGAUGAAAAGCACUUUGAAAAGAGAGUUAAACAGUACGUGAAAUUGUUGAAAGGGAAGCGCUGGUCCCCAGACGUGGGCGCGAUCGGUUCCCCCGGUCCUCGGAGCGGGCUACUCCAUCGCGUCCAGGCCCACAUCGGUUGGGGUGGUCGGUGAAAGGUCCCGGGAACGUACCGACUCUCCGGGGUCGACUUAUAGCCCGGGGCGCCAUACGACCCACCCCGACCGAGGAACGCGCUCCGGCUCGGAUGUGGGCGUAAUGGGGAUCAGCGGCCCGUCUUGAAACACGGACCAAGGAGUCGAACCGCCGUGCGAGUGUUUGGGUGUCAAGCCCCGACGCGGAAUGAAGGUGAACGGAGGUCAGAACCCCGUCUCGGGGCGCAUGAUCGACCGAUCCGGAUGUCUUCGGAUGGAUUUGAGUAUGAGCACGGCGGGUCGGACCCGAAAGAUGGUGAACUAUGCCUGGAUAGGGUGAAGCCAGAGGAAACUCUGGUGGAGGCUCGCAGCGGUUCUGACGUGCAAAUCGAUCGUCAAAUCUGGGUAUAGGGGCGAAAGACCAAUCGAACCAUCUGGUAGCUGGUUCCUGCCGAAGUUUCCCUCAGGAUAGCAGUAACGGUGUCAGUUUUAUGAGGUAAAGCGAAUGAUUAGCGGCCUGGGGGUGGCAACCACCUUC